AUACGGAGGAUCCGAGCGUUAUCCGGAUUUAUUGGGUUUAAAGGGUGCGCAGGCGGCCAUUUAAGUCAGCGGUUAAAUCGUGGGGCUCAACCCCAUUCUGCCGUUGAUACUGGGUGGCUUGAUUGCGGUCGAGGUUGGCGGAAUUCGUUGUGUAGCGGUGAAAUGCAUAGAUAUGACGAAGAACACCGAUUGCGUAGGCAGCUGACCAGACCGCAAAUGACGCUCAUGCACUAAAGUGCGGGGAUCGAACAGGAUUAGAUACCCUGGUAGUCCGCACAGUAAACGAUGAAUACUUGUUUUCGGCGAUAUAAUGUCGGAGGCAAAGCGAAAGCGAUAAGUAUUCCACCUGGGGAGUACGCCGGCAACGGUGAAACUCAAAUGAAUUGACGGGG
rnacentral:rRNA from 1 species